rnacentral:rRNA from 1 species
GUGGGGAAUCUUAGACAAUGGGGGCAACCCUGAUCUAGCCAUGCCGCGUGAGUGAUGAAGGCCUUAGGGUUGUAAAGCUCUUUCAGUGGGGAAGAUAAUGACGGUACCCACAGAAGAAGCCCCGGCUAACUCCGUGCCAGCAGCCGCGGUAAUACGGAGGGGGCUAGCGUUGUUCGGAAUUACUGGGCGUAAAGCGCACGUAGGCGGAUCGGAAAGUUGGGGGUGAAAUCCCAGGGCUCAACCCUGGAACUGCCUUCAAAACUAUCGGUCUGGAGUCCGAGAGAGGUGAGUGGAAUUCCGAGUGUAGAGGUGAAAUUCGUAGAUAUUCGGAGGAACACCAGUGGCGAAGGCGGCUCACUGGCUCGGUACUGACGCUGAGGUGCGAAAGCGUGGGGAGCAAACAGGAUUAGAAACCCGUGUAGUCC